UGAAAGCCUUCGGCUCAACCGAAGAAGUGCAUCGAAACUGGGAAACUGAGUGCAGAAGAGGACAGUGGAACUCCAUGUGUAGCGGUGAAAUGCGUAGAUAUAUGGAAGAACACCAGUGGCGAAGGCGGCUGUCUGGUCUGUAACUGACGCUGAGGCUCGAAAGUAUGGGUAGCAAACAGGAUUAGAUACCCUGGUAGUCCAUACCGUAAACGAUGAAUGCUAAGUGUUGGAGGGUUUCCCCCUUCAGUGCUGCAGCUAACGCAUUAAGCAUUCCGCCUGGGGAGUACGGCCGCAAGGCUGAAACUCAAAGGAAUUGACGGGGGCCCGCACAAGCGGUGGAGCAUGUGGUUUAAUUCGAAGCUACGCGAAGAACCUUACCAGGUCUUGACAUACUAUGCAAAUCUAAGAGAUUAGACGUUCCCUUCGGGGACAUGGAUACAGGUGGUGCAUGGUUGUCGUCAGCUCGUGUCGUGAGAUGUUGGGUUAAGUCCCGCAACGAGCGCAACCCUUAUUAUCAGUUGCCAGCAUUAAGUUGGGCACUCUGGUGAGACUGCCGGUGACAAACCGGAGGAAGGUGGGGAUGACGUCAAAUCAUCAUGCCCCUUAUGACCUGGGCUACACACGUGCUACAAUGGAUGGUACAACGAGUUGCGAACUCGCGAGAGUAAGCUAAUCUCUUAAAGCCAUUCUCAGUUCGGAUUGUAGGCUGCAACUCGCCUACAUGAAGUCGGAAUCGCUAGUAAUCGCGGAUCAGCAUGCCGCGGUGAAUACGUUCCCGGGCCUUGUACACACCGCCCGUCACACCAUGAGAGUUUGUAACACCCAAAGUCGGUGGGGUAACCUUUAGGAACCAGCCGCCUAAGGUGGGACAGAUGAUUAGGGUGAAGUCGUAACAAGGUAACCAAGGGCGAA
rnacentral:rRNA from 1 species